AGCACUACCGCUCAAGUCCUUCCACUACCGCUCACGUCCUUCCACGCGUGGAUAUAGUGGACAUUACACGCACAGUUUCCUCUCCGCCACAACACUUGAUAUUUAUUUGAACAAUAUAGUUUUUCGUUGGAUAUUUUUCAAUUUGAAUUUAAAGGGAUUGCAUUGGCACCAGGAGACAUGAUACUCAGGAGAUGUCUGUACUUGCUGCCGUUACUGUGUGUCUGCCUCGCAGCGCAACCUCAAGAUGGAGAGUUGGACGACGACACGAUUUUCGACCUGUUUGAGAUCAGUCACAUCAACCGCAAGACUCUGGGAGCCAAGCAGUUCCGGGGCCAAGACUCGGACGCGCCGGCGUACCGCUUCAUCCGCUUCGACCAGCUGCCGUCCGUCCACGCUGCUGUGCUGAGACAGCUGCUGCGGCAGGUCCAGAACAACGAGGGCUUCGUGCUGGAGGCCAGCUUGCGGCAAGACCGCGGCUCCCGGGGGACGCUGGUGGGGCUGGAGGACUCCAACGGUCAACGGCAGUUUGAGAUUGUGUCCAACGGGCGCGCCAACACGCUGGACCUGGUGUACUGGGUGGACGGAUCCCAGAACGUGGUGUCCUUCGAGGACGUGGACCUGUCCGACUCCCAGUGGAAGAACAUCACGCUUCACGUCCACGGGGAGAACGCCCACCUGUUUGUGGGCUGUGGGCUGGUGGACAGCUUCAUCCUGGACGAGCCCUUCUACGAGCACCUGCAGCAGGAGGGCAGCAGGAUGUUCGUGGCCAAGGGCUCCACACGGGAAAACCACUUCAGGGGCUUGCUGCAGAAUGUGCGUUUCAUCUUUGACACUUCGAUGGAUGACAUCCUGAUGGCGAAGGGCUGUGAUGUCACUAAACCAGUCCGUCUCUCCGACCCAGAUGAGGCGAACACGGUGAGCGAGAGUGCUGAGGUGGUGGAUGUCAGUCCUUCCAUCACCACUAACUUCAUUGGUCAGAAGCCGGAGAAGGCGGGACCGGGGGCGGAGCUAUGCGAGCGCUCCUGUGAGGAGCUGAGCUCCAUGUUCCAGGAACUUAAGGGCCUGCGCGUCGUCGUCGGCAACCUGAUUGACGGCCUUCAGAAAGUGACGGAGGAGAAUGUGGUGAUGAAGGACGCUCUGGCCAGGAUGAAGAACUCCAAGGAGAAGAGCAUGUGCUGGCAGGACGGGCGUCUGUUUGAGGACAAGGAGGACUGGGUGGUGGACAGCUGCACCAAGUGCACCUGCCAGGAGUCUAAGAUAGUGUGCCACCAGAUUACCUGCCCUGCGGUGGCCUGUGCCAGCCCUUCCUUCAUCGAUGGAGAAUGCUGCCCUGUGUGUCUACCUAAAGACAGUGAGGAUGGCUGGUCUCCGUGGUCUGAGUGGACAGAGUGUACGGUCACCUGUGGGACAGGUACGCAGCAGAGGGGCAGGUCAUGUGACGCCACCAGCAACCCCUGCUCCGGCCCGUCUAUACAGACACGCAAGUGCAGCCUGGGAAAAUGUGACAGUCGAGUCCGCCAGGACGGUGGGUGGAGCCUGUGGUCUCCCUGGUCAUCGUGCUCCGUGUCGUGUGGUGAGGGUCAGAUCACCAGGAUCCGCCACUGCAACGCCCCCGUGCCCCAGCUGGGAGGCCGAGACUGUCAGGGGAGCGGCCGGGAGACACAGCGAUGUGAGGCCAAGCCUUGUCCAAUUGACGGUGGUUGGGGACCGUGGUCGCCGUGGGCAACCUGCUCAGCAACCUGUGGGGGCGGGAUUAAGAGUCGGACACGCGUGUGUAACAGCCCCCAGCCCCAGUACGGUGGAAAGCAGUGCCUGGGAGAAGCCAAGGACAGCGACAUCUGCAACAAGAAGGACUGUCCUAUUGACGGCUGUCUGUCUGACCCGUGUUUCGGGGGGGUGGACUGCAGCAGUGCCUCAGAUGGAUCCUGGGAAUGUGGACCUUGCCCUGUUGGUUUCCGUGGCAACGGAACCCAUUGCGAAGACAUCAAUGAGUGUGACAUGGUGUCGGACGUGUGCUACCGGGUGGGUGAAGCCCAGCGCUGUGUGAACACAGACCCAGGCUUCCACUGUCUGUCCUGCCCUCCCAGGUACAAGGGCACCCAGCCCUUCGGCAUGGGAGUGGAGGCUGCCAAGAACAACAAGCAGGUGUGUGAGCCUGAGAACCCGUGCCAGGACAAGACCCAUAACUGCCACCGGCACGCAGACUGUGUGUAUCUCAGCCACUUCAGCGACCCCAUGUACAAGUGUGACUGUAAGAUCGGCUACGCAGGGGACGGCUUCAUCUGCGGGGAGGACUCCGACCUGGACGGCUGGCCCAAUCACAACCUGGUGUGUGACGCCAAUGCCACCUAUCACUGCAAGAAGGACAACUGCCCCAACCUGCCCAACUCUGGACAGGAAGACUUUGACAAAGACGGGCAAGGGGACGCGUGUGACAAGGACGAUGACAACGACGGCAUCGUAGACGAGAGAGACAACUGUCCUUUGCUGUACAACCCUCGUCAGUUUGACUUUGACAAAGACGACGUGGGCGACCGCUGUGACAACUGCCCCUACGAGCACAACCCCGCCCAGAUAGACACGGACCACAACGGCGAGGGAGAUGCCUGCUCUGUGGACAUCGACGGGGACGAGAUUCUGAACGAACAUGACAACUGUCCGUACGUGUACAACCAUGAGCAGAAGGAUACAGACAUGGAUGGAGUAGGAGACCAGUGUGACAACUGUCCACUUCUGCACAACCCAGACCAGGCGGACAGAGAUAACGACCUGGUGGGGGACCAGUGUGACAACAGCCAAGACAUCGACGAGGACGGCCACCAGAACAACUUGGACAACUGUCCCUACGUUGCCAACUCCAACCAGGCCGACCACGACAAGGACGGCAAGGGCGACGCCUGUGACUAUGACGACGACAACGAUGGUAUCCCUGACGAUAAAGAUAACUGCAGACUGGUGCCCAAUGAAGACCAGCUUGACUCUGAUGGAGAUGGCAGGGGCGACGCCUGCAAAGACGACUUUGACAACGACAACAUCCCCGACAUCCUGGACGUGUGCCCUGAGAACAACGCCAUUAGCAUCACAGACUUCAGGAAGUUCCAGAUGGUGCACCUGGACCCCAAGGGCACCACGCAGAUCGACCCCAGCUGGGUGGUGCGGCACCAGGGCAAGGAGCUGGUCCAGACCGCCAACUCAGACCCGGGCAUCGCCGUGGGCUUUGACGAGUUCAACGCGGUGGAUUUCAGCGGCACGUUUUACGUGAACACGGACCGUGACGACGACUACGCUGGCUUCGUGUUCGGGUACCAGUCCAGCGGCCGCUUCUACGUGGUCAUGUGGAAGCAGAUCACCCAGACCUACUGGGAGGACAAGCCCUCCAAGGCGUUCGGCCUCUCGGGAGUCUCCCUCAAGGUGGUUAACUCCACCACGGGCACCGGGGAGAACCUGAGGAAUGCGCUGUGGCACACAGGGAACACCGCCGGCCAGGUGCGUACCCUCUGGCACGAUCCCAAGAACGUCGGCUGGAAAGACUUUACCGCCUACAGGUGGCACCUCAUACACAGACCCAAGACUGGCUUCAUCAGGGUGGUGGUGUACGAGGGGAAGCAGAUCCUGGCGGACUCGGGGCCCGUGUACGACCAGACGUUCGCAGGAGGACGGCUCGGCCUCUUUGUGUUCUCCCAGGAGCUCGUCUUCUUCUCAGACCUCAAGUAUGAGUGCAGAGAUAAGCCGGAGUUUCCAACUGUGUUCAUAUAAAGAUAACUGAGCUGGGUGGACCAUGCUCCUCUGUCUCCUGGAUCUCCACAUCUUAACUCCAUCUUUCAGAUGGACACAGACCUGUCUGCUGUGCUGGGACAGCCAUUAGACUGGUUAGGGUUACCCCUGUCUGUCCUCCAGGGUUAGGGUUCGCUGUGUCUGUUCUCCAGGGUUAGGGUUAGCUGUGUGUCCUCCAGGGUUAGGGUUAGCUGUGUCUGUUCUCCAGGGUUAGCCAUGUCUGUUCUCCAGGGUUAGGGUUAGCUGUGUCUGUUUUCCAGGGUUAGGGUUAGUUGUGUGUCCUCCAAGGUUAGGGUUAGCUGUGUCUGUUCUCCAGGUUUAGGGUUAGCUGUGUCUGUUCUCCAGGGUUAGGGUUAGUUGUGUGUCCUCCAGGGUUAGGGUUAGCUUUGUCUGUUAUCCAGGGUUAUCUGUGUCUGUUCUCCAGGGUUAGGGUUAGCUGUGUGUCCUCCAGGAUUAGGGUUAGCUGUGUCUGUUAUCCAGGGUUAGGGUUAGCUGUGUCUGUUCUCCAGGGUCUUGGAAGACCAGACUUUCCCUUAGAAGUGACAUCACAUCUCAGUGGACUAACAAAAGCCAAAUAACUUAACGCUGUGUUCGACAUUGUACAUUUCUUUUAAUCCUAUUUUUUCUGUUUUACAUUUUUGAUUUUAGCUCACUUUUCCAACUGUCAGUCUUAGUGAAUACCAAUAUUUGAGUUCUAGGAACAGAUAAGGGACAUGAUCCACACAUUUGAACUAUAACUUAAGGUUAUACCACAGACCAAUUAUAGACUGGUACCAAAGACCAGUGAUGUGGCAGAUUAUAGACUGGUACCAAAGACCAGUGAUGUGGCAGAUUAUAGACUGGUACCAAAGACCAGUGAUGUGGCAGAUUAUAGACUGGUAUCCGUUCCCAUCAUUCUUAAUGCCUCUGGAAAGUUCUUCAACCCCAAGGCCUUUUUACAGCAACUUACUCUGGGAACAAGAUGUUUAUACUAAGUCUGUAUUAUACAUUAUUUUUUUGUAAAUUAUUUAUGCUAUCGUUUUUUAAUGUUUAUUUUUUUCCUUGUUUGUUUCCCUUUUUGCUGAAGUUUGUAAAUACUUAUUUAUUUGUUUACACUGAUAUAAAACAACUAUUUGAAAUACACCUGAAAUUUGUGCUAAAUAAUAUCCAAGCUUUGCAUCAUAACUGAAAGAUGGGGUCAGGAUUGAUAUGCAGGACUUUGCAGGCAGUGCUUUUGUCACCAUGAAGUGGUGAAGUGUGGAGUUACUACACACCAUGACCGGAGCAGAUCUGAAAAGUCACAUGAAUGAGUGUUUAUGCUGAGUUAGAGAGUCAUGUUUAGGUUGUGUAGUGUUGUAUGUAGUAGUGUGAGGAUGUCUGUCCACAGGGCCACAGGCUCAGAGUGAGUCCACAGGCCUACAGAUCUAUUCCUCGAUGUGGAAAGUGUGUUUUCUAUAUAUGGAAGGAUUUUAUUGUAAACGUGUCUUUCCUACAUCAAGGAUGGAUAUUCAGGACUUCCUGUUUCUGGUCUGUAAGGUUGAGAUAACAAUAUUAUCACAAGAGGGAAAUGUGGAUUAAAUGGGACGGUAACGUUGCACCUGUACACCUGUAGCACAAUAACCCCAGAUUAGCUCAAAGCUAACUGUAACUGUUGCUCCUUCAAACAAACGGAUAAGCAAACGAUCAUUAAAAAACAAGUUAUCACACAAUUUGUUGUAAAAAUAAAUGUAAUUAAAUGAAAUUAUACUAAUGACAACCAACUAAGCAAAUGUUAACUAAGAAGCCAUCCUCCAUUAUGCAUUCAAUUAGCCAAAGUUAGACACAGUUAGCCAUUGUCUGUGUCCCUGAGAAGUAAUGACGUACUACCACAACAUGUGCAAAGGGUCUUGGGUAAUGGACGGACGUCUCAUCCUCCAUACUAGUUUCUACUCAGAGAACCCGCCAGACCCACAAUGCUGUCACUGAAUGCCAUCACUGAACUGACAUAACAUCAGAGUUAAAAAAACACAUUAAUUACAUGGAUCAGGCAUUCAGAAAAAGUAUGAACAUAUCCGUUAGUAUAGCAGUUGUUGUCCCAAUACAUCAAAAUAUGUUAGCUUGUUCUGUUUUUUGGGGGUUUUGCAAUGCACAAAUGUACAUUGUUUUUGAUAUACAUGAUGCACGUGUUACAUUUUCUAACAACCCUUUUUGUAAGUGGUAAACAUUAAAAAUGUAUCUUGUUUAAUGAAACAAUCUCAUGUACAUGAUCAAAUUAUGUUCUAUAGGGAAUAAACAUU